AAAAGUGCGUAGUUGAGGUGUACCGAUAUACCUUCAUUGCAACGGCGUAAAAUAACGACCAAUAAAAUUUGUGCAGGCGUGGGCUGGCACACAUUAUACGGCAGAGGUGAGGAUGCAGAUAUUCUUCAUGCUCAGCUCAUAAAA
ensembl:ncRNA F42H10.12 ncRNA